ACAAUGCGGCAUCGCUCUGCGUCGACGUGGUACGACGCGCCAGCGUACUAGCCGCCGCGGCCGUCAUAAAUAUACAUAACAUGGCACCCAUCACCGGCACAACAUCGCCGACCGAGCGCGAGGAGCCGCGUCCCGUUUUCACGCCAGGACGGCGCGCGCUGGCAGCGCUCGUGUGAUCAGGUCUUCAUUACUUGUCUGCGCUAGCGAUUAAUUUGUAUUGUACCAUAAACUGUAUUGCAAAGCGAAUUGUAACACUGAAUAAAUUAUUUUGUGGAAAAUAA